rnacentral:rRNA from 1 species
AUUGAACGCUGGCGGCAGGCCUAACACAUGCAAGUCGAACGAAUGGCGGACGGGUGAGUAAUGUCUAGGAAACUGCCCGAUGGAGGGGGAUAACUAGUGGAAACGGUAGCUAAUACAGCAUACCAUCGGAUGUGCCCAGAUGGGAUGAGCUAGUAGGGGGGGUAACGGCUCACCUAGGCUACUCUCCCUAGCUGGUCUGAGAGGAUGCCCAGCCACACUGGAACGUAGACACGGUCCAGACUCCUACGGUAGGCCGCAGUGGGGAAUCUUGCACAAUGGGCGCAAGCCUGAUGCAGCCAUGCCGCGUGUAUGAAGAAGGCCUUCGGGUUGUAAAGUACUUUCAGCGAGGAGGCGUUACUCGCAGAAGAAGCACCGGCUAACUCCGUGCCAGCCGCCGCGGUAAUUC